UACGUAAGAAUCUGCCCUUUGGAGGAGGAAACGGUUGGAAACGACCGCUAAUCCUGCAUAUGCCAUUGGUGAAAGGUCUCUAACACGAGAUUGCCAAAGGAUGAGCUUACGCCUGAUUAGCUAGUUGGUGGGGUAAAGCCUACCAAGGCAACGAUCAGUAGCUGGUCUGAGAGGAUGAUCAGCCACACUGGGACUGAGACACGGCCCAGACUCCUACGGGAGGCAGCAGUAGGGAAUUUUCCGCAAUGGGCGAAAGCCUGACGGAGCAAUGCCGCGUGGAGGGUGAAGGCCUAUUGGGUU
rnacentral:rRNA from 1 species